UUAGCUCAUGAAUUGGACACCCCUGUGUCCAGGACCUGGGCGGUUCCAGAGGAAAUGCCUAAAUGUGGAGCACGUCUGACUCACAUCUUAAUUUACAGCUAUCCCAUGGAACCAGGCUGGUUUUACACCUGACUGUUAUAUAAAAGAAUCCAAAACCACCUCCAGAGAAGCUGGAAUGUGGCAGGGGGAGUGAAGCCUUGCUCCUGAAUAAGCCUGACAACUUUCUUUCCAAAUGAAUGCUCAAGGCUGGGAGCAAAGUGUCACGUCCUUGACUUCCAUCUCAGGCAGGAGCAAUGAGAGCCACUCGGCAUGUGUGACGGUGUACCCACAAUCAGGACAUUGUGAAACGGAAACUAGAAACACCAGUGUGUGUUCCCUUCAAAAGGCAAAGUUCACACUUUGUAAGCCUGUAAUUUUGUCUCUGGACAGGAUGAGAUAAACUCCUUUCCAGGAAACAUGAUUCACUUUUGAGGUGGAAAUGUAUUUAAAGAGUUUAUCUUGGUAAA